rnacentral:lncRNA from 1 species
UUAGAAAAGACUGAAAAAGGUGUUUGUUUUUUGCAAAAAAGAUUGCUUUUUUGAAGCAAAUGCUGAAAAUGGUGUUUGUUUUUUUGCAAAAAUGACCUGUUUUUUGAACACAAGGUUGAAAAGGGUGUUAGUUUUGCAAAAAGAUUGUUUUUUGAGCAACUUUUCUGAAGCAAAACUGAAAAGGGUGUUUGUUUUGUGCUAAAAAGAUUGCUUUUUGAAGCAAAUAUUGAAAAGGAUGUUUGUUUUUUGCAAAAAUAACCUGUUUUAUGAAAGGUUGAAAAGGGUGUUAGUUUUUGCAAAAAGAUUAUUUUUUGAGCAAAGUUUCUGAAGCAAGAUUGAAAAGGGUGUUUGUUUUUGCAAUAAAAGAUUGAUGGGUCUAUGUGGGGGGUG